UACGUAGGGGGCAAGCGUUGUCCGGAAUCAUUGGGCGUAAAGAGCGCGUAGGCGGUCCGGUAAGUCGGUUGUGAAAACUGGGGGCUCAACCCUCAGAGGCCGACCGAUACUGUCGGGCUAGAGUCCGGAAGAGGCGAGUGGAAUUCCUGGUGUAGCGGUGAAAUGCGCAGAUAUCAGGAGGAACACCAAUGGCGAAGGCAGCUCGCUGGGACGGUACUGACGCUGAGGCGCGAAGGCGUGGGGAGCAAACAGG
rnacentral:rRNA from 1 species